AAUAUAGAAUAAUUCCAAUCUAAGUAUACAACUUUCUGAGGCAGAAACCAAACAAUACAGAAGCAUUUCUCACAAUUUUUUUAGGUGCUACCAAGAUUUCUUCCCGUUCUUCUAUCAAUAAAAAAAGCCCUUCCUAAAAAAAGGAAGAACUAAUCUCAAUCUAUCAACAUUUUGACUUAUCACUUGAUUAGUUUUCGAAAAUUGAAGCAGCUCGUCUUUGAUGAUAAAAAUUCUAAUCUUGUGAUGAAAAUUACGGAUUGCUUGAGGUGAUAGUUUGUUUUUUAACAACAUGGCUAUAAAACAGGGGAGAAAAAGCCAAAUCAAAAAAGUUUGUUUUGGUACCAUUCCAAACAACAUGACUCUAAAACUAUAGUCAUUAUGCUGAACAAGGGUUUGUUGUUUUGGUACCAUUCUAAACAACAUGACUCUAAAACCUCGGAGAAUUAUUUUUUCUCCAUGAUUCCGUAUUCGCAUCACUUAUCCAUAGCUAGAUUUCAGUUUAGAAGGUCUAAUUUUUUUCUUCACGUUUAUUAUACCAAACUUUUUCCUUCUUGGCGGAAAAACCCACCAUUUUUCAAUGGUGGGUUUUCUUU
rnacentral:misc_RNA from 1 species